rfam:Triticum aestivum genome assembly, contig: Triticum_aestivum_CS42_TGACv1_scaffold_049519_1BS
CAUCUACUCCCUCCGUCCGAAAAUACUUGUCAUCAAAAUAAAUAGGAGGGGAUGUAUCUAGAUGUAUAGUUCUAGAUACUCCCUCCGUCCGAAAAUAGUUCUAGAUACAUCCCUUUUUAUCCAUUUUGAUGACAAGUAUAUUCGGACGGAGGGAGUAGACA